UAACCACAUUAGCUCGCCAUGCGUUUCACCUGGAGGCCCAGCCUAGGGGUCGGUUCUUCCCAAAACGGCCUAAAGUCCUGUUUCCUCUUAUAGGACACAGAUCGUUUGCCUGUCAUCUGAGGAAGUUGUCUAAUCUUAGCCGUGAAACUUAUCCCCCCCUCGCUCAGAGGGCUGCUGGGUAUAGGCUCGUUGUCGGGGGGCUCUUGUGGACUCGGUCAGUGUUUGCUACCUGCGAGCAGUGGGAGGAAGUUAGAAUGAGAGUAACAGGUUCACUUUCUUGUAGCCCAUGGAACUGGACGCUUGGGAGAUGUUUGUCUGCAGGUUGCAUGGUAAUCUGGAUUUGAUGCAUGGCAGUUGCAUGACCGCAGUAGGUCUUGUUGUGGGACGAAGCACACAGCUGCAGCCAUGGCACAAACCAUGCACGUGAAUGGCAAUG